AUGUCCCACCCGCGCCGCCCGGACGGCUCCGUUCUUCCCGACGCGGCCAGUUGCGACGCGCACUGCUGCCACCCGGUGAAGCCUGCCUCCAUCAACGGUGACGCCAAGGUGCUUGACGACCUCAACAUGUCCUGGAGCGCCAUUACCGCCGCCCUCGCGCUCAUCGUCCUCGACUUCAAGGACGCCCGCCUUGCCUCGAGAAGUCUGUUCUUUCUGAAACUAAAACUCACAUCCACCAUUGCUUACUAUGGUGCCACUGAGAAACAAAUUUCAGGUCUCCUACCACUGCUGCUCUUCUUCUGUGGGAUGUUCAUCACCGUGGACGGCUUCAACAAAACCGGCAUUCCCAGCAUGUUCUGGGAGUUCAUGGAGCCCUACACACGGAUUGACACGCCAACCAAGGUGGUCAUCCUCGCUCUGGUGAUCCUUCUCCUGUCCAAUGUCGUGUUGAAUGUCCCGACAGUCCUGAUGCUCGAUGCACGGGUGGUGGUCUCGGUGGCGGAGAUCUCCCCCGCGGCGGACACCAACACGUGGCUGAUCCUGGCAUGGGUGAGCACGGUGGCCGGCAACCUGUCCCUUCUGAGGUCGGCGGUGAACCUGAUCGUGUGCGAGCAGGCGCACCGGGCAUUGGUUCAUGCCACAAUGGCCCCCAGCACCAUGAGCAUGGUCGUCCAUGGGUGGCGAUGGGUGGCACGUCUGUAUCAUCGUCAUGACAUAGAAGCUGUUGGUCGAUGA
rnacentral:rRNA from 1 species